AUCUGAUCUGUAAAAGUUUAAAAAAUAUGUCAAGAUAAGGAGAUAAAAAAUUUGCCAAUAGACCUGUUAGGCGUCUAGCGUACGAGCAGUGUUUGAUUGAUGCAACAUCGGGCUAUCGUUUGGAAGAUUUUACACUAUCACUAUCAUGGGGGCAUUUUGCCAUCCUGAUGAAUGCCAAUGAAACUAUGAAUUCAUCCUUCGCCACGUCGGAAGGAUGGAACUUUCAUGAACAAGACAGAACACCCUUGCGAAAAGAAGCAUUCUGUUGUGAAGAACCUGCCACUUCCAUCGCACAUGUUGAGAAAGAAAAACAUUCCGCUUCAAUAUGAUUCAUCAUGUUUUCCAUCAACUUCUGAGCAGCUAUUUAUUUGUAAUUUGUACAAAUUACAAAAUAAAGAAAAAAGAAUUGACGUCAGUAUGUUCCAAAAUUAUUGUCCACUUCCACACCAGUUGGGAUAUUUAUCUGAGAAGAAUAAUGGUUGUGAACAAUUUAAAGACCCUCUCGAAGGAGGAGACAUUGGAUUUUGUGAACUCCUUUGACACUAUCUUUUCCAACUUCAUGGAUCGUCUUCAUUCUUUUUGAUUUGUUCUAUUUGAAGUACGACAUUCCGACUGAUCAGGUGUUCUGUGGCUUGGGUCUGAAAUGAUCAUCAAGGCACCAGAAGUGAUGAACAGCUUCAAGGAAAUGCAGAAGAGAGUCUUUUACUUGGCGAACAACAGCAAGAAGUCACCAAAUUUGCUAUCUGCCAAGUUGGGCCACAUGGGGUUUGAAGCGAUAAAGGUUGAAGUCCUGUGCACUGCAGUGCUUCGGCUCAAGUGUCUCAAGAUGAAAGACUUCAAUAAAACUGCUUACCUUUCAAGUUCAACUGCAGUGAAGGAAGCAAUCCAAGCUGUCGGAAUAUCAACUAUCGGGCACGGGAUGCAGCAUGGAAAUAGCUUUCUUGGAUGUACAGAUGAUGGAAGACGCCGUGCAGUUUGAUUAAAACAACAAGUUAGACCUGGUGCCUGACUAUUUCACCUGUACAAUUGCUGAUUUACUCGAGGUGUUACAUAUGAGCAACUCUACUUAGCAUCAACUCAACAGAAUAUUGUUUCAUUGUAUAGAUGGAAUUUUGAAAUAAACUUUUAAUAAUUUGA